CGCCUGCAUGGACGGGGUUUCAACGGCAGCAUGCAGGGGAUAAGUCGGACUGCGGGGAAGUCUCGAGAACCGACACCGGGUGGCGAAGCUAGCGCCCGGGAGGCGAACGGCUGGCGGCG
rnacentral:sRNA from 16 species